AGUAUGUGGCCGAGAUGGACCCAAAGGUUUGAGCUGUAACUCAUUCAUUGAGGAAGAAUGAAAAGUACAACAUUAGAUCUGUGGGUUAGGGUCAGUGGUAGGUAAAGCCAUAGAUGUUAUGUGUUUGGGUGUGAGUGUAUGUACUUUAGGUUAGGGUCAGUGAUAGGUAAAGGCAUAGAUGUUGUGUGUUUGGGUGUGAGUGUAUGUACUUUAGGUUAGGGUCAGCUAGGAAAAGGCAUAGAUGUUAUGUGUUUGGGUGUGAGUGUAUGUACUUUAGGUUAGGGUCAGUGCUAGGUAAAGGCAUAGAUGUUAUGUGUUUGGGUGUGAGUGUAUGUACUUUAGGUUAGGGUCAGUGCUAGGUAAAGGCAUAGAUGUUAUGUGUUUGGGUGUGAGUGUAUGUACUUCAGGUUAGGGUCAGUGCUAGGUAAAGGCAUAGAUGUUAUGUGUUUUGGAGUGAGUGUAUGUACUUUAGGUUAGGCUCAGUGCUAGGUAAAGGCAUAGAUGUUGUGUGUUUGGAUGUGUGUAUGUACUUUAGGUUAGGGUCAGUGCUAGGUAAAGACAUAGAUGUUGUGUGUUUGGGUGUGAGUGUAUGUACUUUAGGUUGGGUCAAUGCUAGGUAAAGGCAUAGAUGUUAUAUGUUUGGGUGUGAGUGGAUGUACUUUAGGAUAGGGUCAGUGCUAGGUAAAGGCAUAGAUGUUAUGUGUUAGGGUGUGAGUGUAUGUACUUUAGGUUAUGGUCAGUGCUAGGUAAAGGCAUAGAUGUUAUGUGUUUGGGUGUGAGGGUAUGUACUUUAGGUUAGGGUCAGUGCUGGGUAAAGGCAUAGAUGUUAUGUGUUUGGGUGUGACUGUAUGUACUUUAGGUUAGGGUCAGUGCUAGGUAAAGGCAUAGAUGUUAUGUGUUUGGGUGUGAGUGUAUGUACUUUAGGUUAGGGUCAGUGCUAGGAAAAGGCGUAGAUGUUAUGUGUUUGGGUGUGAGUGUAUGUACUUUAGGUUAGGGUCAGUGCUAGGUAAAGGCAUAGAUGUUAUGUGUUUGGGUGUGAGUGUAUGUACUUUAGGUUAGGGUCAGUGCUAGGUAAAGGCAUAGAUGUUAUGUGUUUGGGUGUGAGUGUAUGUACUUUAGGUUAGGGUCAGUGCUAGGUAAAGGCAUAGAUGUUAUGUGUUUGGGUGUGAGUGUAUGUACUUUAGGUUAGGGUCAGUGCUAGGUAAAGGCAUAGAUGUUACGUGUUUUGGCGUGAGUGUAUGUACUUUAGGUUAGGGUCAGUGCUAGGUAAAGGCAUAGAUGUUGUGUGUUUGGGUGUGUGUAUGUACUUUAGGUUAGGGUCAGUGCUGGGUAAAGGCAUAGAUGUUAUGUGUUUGGGUGUGAAUGUAUGUACUUUAGGUUAGGGUCAGUGCUAGGUAAAGGCAUAGAUGUUGUGCGUUUGGGUGUGAGUGUAUGUACUUUAGGUUAGGGUCAGUGCUAGAUAAAGGCAUAGAUGUUAUGUGUUUGGGUGUGAGUGUAUGUACUUUAGGUUACGGUCAGUGCUAGGUAAAGGCAUAGAUGUGUGUUUGGGUGUGAGUGUAUGUACUUUAGGUUAGGGUCAGUGCUAGGUAAAGGCAUAGAUGUUAUGUGUUUGGGUGUAAGUGUAUGCAAUUUAGGUUAGGGUCAGUGCUAGGUAAAGGCAUAGAUGUUAUGUGUUUGCGUGUGAGUGGAUGUACUUUAGGUUAGGGUCAGUGCUAGGUAAAGGCAAAGAUGUGUGUUUGGGUGUGAGUGUAUGUACUUUAGGUUAGGGUCAGUGCUAGGUAAAGGCAUAUAUGUUGUGUGUUUGGGUGUGAGUGUAUGUACUUCAGGUUAGGGUCAGUGCUAGGUAAAGGCAUAGAUGUGUGUUUGGGUGUGAGUGUAUGUACUUUAGGUUAGGGUCAGUGCUAGGUAAAGGCAUAGAUGUUAUGUGUUUGGGUGUGAGUGUAUGUACUUUAGGUUAGGGUCAGUGGUAGGUAAAGGUACAGAUGUUAUGUGUUUGGGUGUGAGUGUAUGUACUUUAGGUUAGGGUCAGUGCUAGGUAAAGGCAUAGAUGUGUGUUUGGGUGUGAGUGUAUGUACUUUAGUUUAGGGUCAGUGCUAGGUAAAGGCUUAGAUGUUAUGUGUUUGAGUGUGAGUGUAUGUACUUUAAAUUAGGUUCAAUGCUAGUUAAAGGCAUAGAUGUUAUGUGUUUGGGUGUGAGUGUAUGUACUUUAGGUUAGAGUCAGUGCUAGUUAAAGGCAUAGAUGUUAUGUGUAUGGGUGUGAGUGUAUGUACUUUAGGUUAAGGUCAGUGCUAGGUAAAUGCAUAGAUGUGUGUUUGGGUGUGAGUGUAUGUAAGUUAGGGUCAGUGCUAGGUAAAGGCAUAGAUAUUAUGUGUUUGGGUGUGAGUGUAUGUACUUUAGGUUAGGGUCAGUGCUAGGUAAAGGCAUAGAUGUGUGUUUGUGUGUGAGUGUGUGUACUUUAGGUUAGGGUCAGUGCUAGGUAAAGGCAUAGAUGUUAUGUGUCUGGGUGUGAGUGCAUGUACUUUAGGUUAGGGUCAGUGCUAGGUAAAGGCAUAGAUGUUAUGUGUUUGGGUGUGAGUAUAUGUACAUUAGGUUAGGGUCAGUGCUAGGUAAAGGCAUAGAUGUUAUGUGUUUGGGUGUGAGUGUAUGUACUUUAGGUUAGGGUCAGUGCUAGGUAAAGGCAUAGAUGUUAUGUGUUUGGGUGUGAGAGUAUGUACUUUAGGUUAGGGUCAGUGCUAGGUAAAGGCAUAGAUGUUAUGUGUUUGGGUGUGAGUGUAUGUACAUUAGGUUAGGGUCAGUGCUAGGUAAAGGCAUAGAUGUUAUGUGUUUGGGUGUGAGUGUAUGUACUUUACGUUAGGGUCAGUGCUAGGUAAAAGCAUAGAUGUUAUGUGUUUUGGUGUGAGUGUAUGUACUUUAGGUUAGGGUCAGUGCUAGGUAAAGGCAUAGAUGUGUGUUUGGGUGUGAGUGUAUGUACUUUAGGUUAGGGUCAGUGCUAGGUAAAGGCAUAGAUGUUGUGUGUUUGGGUGUGAGUGUAUGUACUUUAGGUUAGGGUCAGUGCUAGGUAAAGGCAUAGAUGUUAUGUGUUUGGGUGUGAGUGUAUGUACUUUAGGUUAGGGUCAGUGCUAGGUAAAGGCAUAGAUGUUAUGUGUUUGAGUGUGAGUGUAUGUACUUUAGGUUAGGGUCAGUGCUAGGUAAAGGCAUAGAUGUUAAGUGUUUGGGUGUGAGUGUAUGUACUAUAGGUUAGGGUCAGUGCUAGGUAAAGGCAUAGAUGUUAUGUGUUUUGGUGUGAGUGUAUGUACUUUACGUUAGGGUCAGUGCUAGGUAAAGGCAUAGAUGUUAUGUGUUUGGGUGUGAGUGUAUGUACUUUAGGUUAGGGUCAGUGCUAGGUGAAGGCAUAGAUGUGUGUUUGGGUGUGAGUGUAUGUACUUUAGGUUAGGGUCAGUGCUAGGUAAAGGCAUAGAUGUUAUGUGUUUGGGUGUGAGUGUAUGUACUUUAGGUUAGGGUCAGUGCUAGGUAAAGGCAUAGAUGUUGUGUGUUUGGGUGUGAGUGUAUGUACUUUAGGUUAGGGUCAGUGCUAGGUAAAGGCAUAGAUGUUAUGUGUUUGGAUGUAAGUGUAUGCACUUUAAGUUAGGGUCAGUGCUAGGUAAAGGCAUAAAUGUUAUGUGUUUGGGUGUGAGUGUAUGUGCUUUAGGUUAUGGUCAGUGCUAGGUAAAGGCAUAGCUGUUAUGUGUUUGGGUGUGAGUGUAUGUACUUUAGGUUAGGGUCAGUGCUAGGUAAAGCCAUAGAUGUUAUGUGUUUUGGUGUGAGUGUAUGUACUUUAGGUUAGGUUCAAUGCUAGGUAAAGGCAUAGAUGUUAUGUGUUUGGGUGUGAGUGUAUGUACUUUAGGUUAGAGUCAGUGCUAGGUAAAGGCAUAGAUGUUACGUGUUUGGGUGUGAGUGUAUGUACUUUAGGUUAAGGUCAGUGCUAGGUAAAUGCAUAUAUGUGUGUUUGGGUGUGAGUGUAUGUACUUUAAGUUAGGGUCAGUGCUAGGUAAAGGCAUAGAUGUUAUGUGUUUGGGUGUGAGUGUAUGUACUUUAGGUUAGGGUCAGUGCUAGGUAAAGGCAUAGAUGUUAUGUGUUUGGGUGUGAGUGUAUGUACUUUUAGGUUAGGGUCAGUGCUAGGUAAAGGCAUAGAUGUUAUGUGUUUGGGUGUGAGUGUAUGUACUUUAGGUUAGGGUCAGUGCUAGGUAAAGGCAUAGAUGUUAUGUGUUUGGGUGUGAGUGUAUGUACAUUAGGUUAGGGUCAGUGCUAGGUAAAGGCAUAGAUGUUAUGUGUUUGGGUGUGAGUGUAUGUACUUUACGUUAAGGUCAGUGCUAGGUAAAGGCAUAGAUGUUAUGUGUUUUGGUGUGAGUGUAUGUACUUUAGGUUAGGGUCAGUGCUAGGUAAAGGCAUAGAUGUGUGUUUGGGUGUGAGUGUAUGUACUUUAGGUUAGGGUCAGUGCUAGGUAAAGGCAUAGAUGUUGUGUGUUUGGGUGUGAGUGUAUGUACUUUAGGUUAGGGUCAGUGCUAGGUAAAGGCAUAGAUGUGUGUUUGGGUGUGAGUGUAUGUACUUUAGGUUAGGGUCAGUGCUGGGUAAAGGCAUAGAUGUUAUGUGUUUGGGUGUGACUGUAUGUACUUUAGGUUAGGGUCAGUGCUAGGUAAAGGCAUAGAUGUUAUGUGUUUGGGUGUGAGUGUAUGUACAUUAGGUUAGGGUCAGUGCUAGGUAAAGGCAUAGAUGUUAUAUGUUUGGGUGUGAGUGUAUGUACUUUACGUUAGGGUCAGUGCUAGGUAAAAGCAUAGAUGUUAUGUGUUUUCGUGUGAGUGUAUGUACUUUAGGUUAGGGUCAGUGCUAGGUAAAGGCAUAGAUGUGUGUUUGGGUGGGAGUGUAUGUACUUUAGGUUAGGGUCAGUGCUAGGUAAAGGCAUAGAUGUUUUGUGUUUGGGUGUGAGUGUAUGUACUUUAGGUUAGGGUCAGUGCUAGGUAAAGGCAUAGAUGUUGUGUGUUUGGGUGUGAGUGUAUGUACUUUAGGUUAGGGUCAGUGCUGGGUAAAGGCAUAGAUGUUAUGUGUUUGGGUGUGACUGUAUGUACUUUAGGUUAUGGUCAGUGCUAGGUAAAGGCAUAGAUGUUGUGUGUUUGCGUGUGAGUGUAUGUACUUUAGGUUAGGGUCAGUGCUAGGUAAAGUCAUAGAUGUUAUGUGUUUGGGUGUGAGUGCAUGUACUUUAGGCUAGGGUCAGUGCUAGGUAAAGGCAUAGAUGUUAUGUGUUUGGGUGUGAGUGUAUGUACUUUAGGUUAGGGUCAGUGCUAGGUAAAGGCAUAGAUGUUAUGUGUUUGGGUGUGAGUGUAUGUACUUUAGGUUAGGGUCAAUGCUAGGUAAAGGCAUAGAUGUUAAGUGUUUGGGUGUGAGUGUAUGUACUAUAGGUUAGGGUCAGUGCUAGGUAAAGGCAUAGAUGUUAUGUGUUUGGGUGUGAGUGUAUGUACUUUACAUUAGGGUCAGUGCUAGGUAAAGGCAUAGAUGUUAUGUGUUUGGGUGUGAGUGUAUGUACUUUAGGUUAGGGUCAGUGCUAGGUAAAGGCAUAGAUGUUGUGUGUUUGGGUGUGAGUGUAUGUACUUUAGGUUAGGGUCAGUGCUAGGUAAAGGCAUAGAUGUGUGUUUGGGUGUGACUGUAUGUACUUUAGGUUAGGGUCAGUGCUAGGUAAAGGCAUAGAUGUUGUGUGUUUGGGUGUCAGUGUAUGUACUUUAGGUUAGGGUCAGUGCUAGGUAAAGGCAUAGAUGUUGUGUGUUUGGGUGUGAGUGUAUGUACGUUAGAUUAGGGUCAGUGCUAGGUAAAGGCAUAGAUGUUAUGUGUUUGGGUGUAAGUGUAUGCACUUUAGGUUAGGGUCAGUGCUAGGUAAAGGCAUAAAUGUUAUGUGUUUGGGAGUGAGUGUAUGUACUUUAGGUUAGGGUCAGUGCUGGGUAAAGACAUAGAUGUUAUGUGUUUGGGUGUGACUGUAUGUACUUUAGGUUAGGGACAGUGCUAGGUAAAGGCAUAGAUGUUGUGUGUUUGGGUGUGAGUGUAUGUACUUUAGGUUAGGGUCAGUGCUAGGUAAAGGCAUAGAUGUUAUGUGUUUGGGUGUGAGUGUAUGUACUUUAGGUUAGGGUCAGUGCUAGGUAAAGGCAUAGAUGUUGUCUGUUUGGGUGUGAGUGUAUGUACUUUAGGUUAGGGUCAGUGCUAGGUAAAGGCAUAGAUGUUAUGUGUUUGGGUGUAAGUGUAUGUACUUUAGGUUAGGGUCAGUGCUAGGUAAAGGCAUAAAUGUUAUGUGUUUGGGUGUGAGUGUAUGUACUUUAGGUUAUGGUCAGUGCUAGGUAAAGACAUAGCUGUUAUGUGUUUGGGUGUGAGUGUAUGUACUUUAGGUUAGGGUCAGUGCUAGGUAAAGGCAUAGAUGUUAUGUGUUUGGGUGUGAGUGUAUGUACUUUAGGUUAGAGUCAGUGCUAGGUAAAGGCAUAGAUGUUAUGUGUUUGGGUGUGAGUGUAUGUACUUUAGGUUAAGGUCAGUGCUAGGUAAAUGCAUAUAUGUGUGUUUGGGUGUGAGUGUAUGUACUUUAAGUUAUGGUCAGUGCUAGGUAAAGGCAUAGAUGUUAUGUGUUUGGGUGUGAGUGUAUGUACCUUAGGUUAGGGUCAGUGCUAGGUAACGCAUAGAUGUGUGUUUGGGUGUGAGUGUAUGUACUUUAGGUUAGGGUCAGUGCUAGGUAAAGGCAUAGAUGUUAUGUGUUUGGGUGUGAGUGUAUGUACUUUUAGGUUAGGGUCAGUGCUAGGUAAAGGCAUAGAUGUUAUGUGUUUGGGUGUGAGUGUAUGUACUUUAGGUUAGGGUCAGUGCUAGGUAAAGGCAUAGAUGUUAUGUGUUUGGGUGUGAGUCUAUGUACAUUAGGUUAGGGUCAGUGCUAGGUAAAGGCAUAGAUGUUAUGUGUUUGGGUGUGAGUGUAUGUACUUUAUGUUAAGGUCAGUGCUAGGUAAAGGCAUAGAUGUUAUGUGUUUUGGUGUGAGUGUAUGUACUUUAGGUUAGGGUCAGUGCUAGGUAAAGGCAUAGAUGUUAUGUGUUUGGGUGUGAGUGUAUGUACUAUAGGUUAGGGUCGGUGCUAGGUAAAGGCAUAAAUGUUAUGUGUUUGGGUGUGAGUGUAUGUAGUUUAGGUUAGAGUCAGUGCUAGGUAAAGGCAUAGAUGUUGUGUGUUUGGGUGUAAGUGUAUGUACUUUAGGUUAGGGUCGGUGCUAGGUAAAGGCAUAGAUGUUAUGUGUUUGGGUGUGAGUGUAUGUACUUUAGGUUAGGGUCAGUGCUAGGUAAAGGCAUAGAUGUUAUGUGUUUGGGUGUGAGUGUAUGUACUUUAGGUUAGGGUCAGUGCUAGGUAAAGGCAUAGAUGUUGUGUGUUUGAUUGUGAGUGUAUGUACUUUAGGUUAGGGUCAGUGCUAGGUAAAGGCAUAGAUGUUAUGUGUUUGGGUGUAAGUGUAUGCACUUUAGGUUAGGGUCAGUGCUAGGUAAAGGCAUAAAUGUCAUGUGUUUGGGUGUGAGUGUAUGUACUUUAGGUUAUGGUCAGUGCUAGGUAAAGGUAUAGAUGUUAUGUGUUUGGGUGUGAGUGUAUGUACUUUAGGUUAGGGUCUGUGCUAGGUAAAGGCAUAGAUGUUAUGUGUUUGGGUGUGAGUGUAUGUACUUUAGGUUAGGGUCAGUGCUGGGUAAAGGCAUAGAUGUUAUGUGUUUUGGUGUGAGUGUAUGUACUUUAGGUUAGGAUCAGUGCUAGGUAAAGGCAUAGAUGUGUGUUUGGGUGUGAGUGUAUGUUCUUUAGGUUAGGGUCUGUGCUAGGUAAAGGCAUAGAUGUUAUGUACUUUAGGUUAGGGUCAGUGCUAAGUAAAGGCAUAGAUGUUAUGUCUUUGGGUGUGAGUGUAUGUACGUUAGGUUAGGGUCAGUGCUAGGUAAAGGCAUAGAUGUUAUGUGUUUGGGUGUGAGUAUAUGUACUUUAGUUUGUAGUCAAUGCUAGGUAAAGGCAUAGAUAUUAUGUGUUUGGGUGUGAGUGUAUGUACUUUAGGUUAGGGUCAGUGCUAGGUAAAGGCAUAGAUGUGAUGUGUUUGGGUGUGAGUGUAUGUACUUUAGGUUGGGGUCAGUGCUAGGUAAAGGCAUAGAUGUUAUGUGUUUGGGUGUGAGUUUAUGUACUUUAGGUUAGGGUCAGUGCUAGGUAAAGGCAUAGAUGUUAUGCGUUUCGGUGUGAGUGUAUGUACUGUAGGUUACGAUCAGGUUUAGGUAAGGGGAUAGAUGUAGUUAUGGAAGGGUGGGAUGGUGCGUGUUUGUGUAUCUAAGUAUGUCUUGUGUGGUGGCUGUGUUACAGCAAAGUUUUUUAAGGUACGGUACAGAAUUUUUGCUGGGGGCAGGGGUGGGAUUAGGGUUAGCAGGUAUUACUAAAGUUUUACCGGAGGGGAAGUCCCCCUGCCCACCUUAGUUAUGCAUGCUAGCCCUACCAUAAUCUAUCAAGUCUGAUGGUAUGGAAUGCAGUAGAAGGUUUAUAGUAUGAGAAAUUAAUGUCACGGUUUUGAAAGUCCCUGCAAAAGAGCAUAUCUAAACAAUUUUAUCUUGGUUUGUGAUUUACUGUGGAGUUAACUGGUAUGAGAAGUUUUAUUUGACUUUAUAUUGUAUUUGUUAUCACUGUUUUUUACUGUUUGUUUAGGUAGGAAGGGACUGCUUGCUGACAAGACUUACUCUGAUUCAUAUUUUGUUGUUUUACCUUUAAUUUCACUGCUGGUUGUUAGAAAGGCAUAGGUUUUAGACAGACAAG